rnacentral:lncRNA from 1 species
AACAACUCAAAUGGCUUUUUUUAAUGCUAGGAAAAAAUGUUCACCUUUCAAUGGUGAAAGUACUGUUGACACAGGUAAAGAGGCAACAAGGUAAAAAGUGAGAGCACAGACAGACACACACAGAUAUAUAUAAAAAUUGACCAGAAAUCACAGGACAUUGAAGCAAUGUUUUCUUAAGUAGAACUAUUUUUCUUGUACUUUAAAUAGACUAAAAUAUUUGGUGUGGGUGGGGGAAGGAAAUCAGUAUUUCACAAUUUUAACUUGAAAACCAGCUGUAAUAAAGCCUCAGCUCAUUGUUUAAUUAAAAAAAUGGAACCACAUCGCACUUUGACAAUCAUAGGAUUAAAGCUUACAAAGAACACAUCUACCAUCUACAUCACAGUGCACAGAGGAUGCAGUCUCCGAGGACUACCACAGGGAAACGAGAGCAGACUGCAUCCAUCGUAUUGCAUUACAAAAUUAAUGCCGUAUAUUUGGACAAUUUUUGGAAGAGGUAGAGAAAGCAACUGGGUAUAUACUCUCUUAUUUGAUUUCAACGAGCAAGAGACUAGACUGACUGCUUUUCACCUUCAAAGUCUUAGUCUUGAUGAAACUGACAAUAAAGGCACAAAUAAAGUAAAAUUAAGUAAUUUUAACAAGGAAGAAAAUCUGACAACGUCUGAACCAAGCAAAACUAGAUAUGGUUUAAGGUAAAAAACAAACAAAAAACUAGAUAUUAAACAAUCUGAAAACAUAUAUUUGGAAUACAGAAAAAGAGUACAGAAUAAGAAAAUUUAGCUUUCAAGAAAAAUUAGGCAGAUUUCCUUCUAGAAAAGUGAUAGGUCCCAAGAGAGAAAGUAGCCCCCACAAGACUAAGCACAGCUUGAUUGUCAUCUUUUUUAUUACUCAAUAUCUAUCACAGUGGCUGGGUAAAGAACAGCCAUCAAAGCUUACUGAACGAAUGUCUAUCAUAAUGUAUAAUCAGUACACUGGUGUAGUUCAAACCUAACCAGGAAAGUUUCUUAAAGCAGGAUGAGAAAAGAACACAAGCAGGGCUAUUCCAACAUCAGUUAUGUUCUCAAAUCUUAACCAGUGGGUACCAAGACUUUUCAAACUUCUUUUUUUAAAGAAACGAAACUCUUUUUUAAAAAGAAAUCUAUGUAGAACUCCAAUACAGAAUAAAAAUGAAGCUGCCACUGGUUAGAUCAAAGUCAGAGGGAAUGUCACCAGCCUCUAAUGCCUUAAGCCAGCCUAAGGUGUCUCUAUGCAAUCUGUGAACACCACCACUCAUCUUAGAAAUGUGAUGGAAAGCAUGGUCAUUCAGUUCUCAUGUUGUUAAACUGAGGAAAUUACCAGCACUAUGAAGGAGAAAUUCUAAAUAAUGUCGCUAAUUUAAAGAAAGACAAAACUCAAGACCUCUUAUCACUUAGAAGAAUGAAAACAGCCGCUAUAAAGUAAAAAAACAAUGAACAAGAAUUAGGCCACAGCAGACAAAACAGAAUGCAAAAAUUAACAUCUCAUUAAAAAGCAAAUACGAUUAAACAUAUUCACAUAAAUGUAAUCACUACCAUGAAGUCAACUGCUCGACAGAUAUAAACUGCUCAAUACGAUAGCUGCUUCCGAAGAGCUGAGUCCCAGUUUCACACUGUCAAGAAGAACCCACCAUGAUGGCAGAGCCGUGGUCCACUAUGGAAAUCUGUGGGCGGCACUGCUUCACUUCACAUAGCAAUACAGGAGUAACUGCCAGGACCUUCUACCGCUUUCAAAGUUGUUCUAUGCCCCUAGGACUGUUCCCUAACAUCACUACAGGUUUUAAGUGAACACCUCCAAAAGGCAGAGGUUCCACGGGUUAUCUCCAGUAGGUCUGGCAGUGGGACACAUACUUGAAUCACAAGAUGGGCUGUAGA